GAACUGAUGGUCUUGAGGCAGGUAGGGGCGAGUGGAACUCUUGGUGGAGCGGUGGAAUGCGUAGAUAUCAAGAGGAACGCCGGAGGCGAAGGCGACUCGCUGGGCCUGACCUGACGCUGAGGUGCGAAAGCCAGGGGAGCGAACGGGAUUAGAUACCCCGGUAGUCCUGGCCCUAAACGAUGUCCACUAGGUCGGAGAGCUUCUGACAGUGUUCCGGCCGAAGCAAAAGUAUUAAGUGGACCGCCUGGGGAGUACGGUCGCAAGGCUAAAACUCAAAGGAAUUGACGGGGGCUCACACAAGCGGUGGAGCAUGUUGCUUAAUUCGAUGCAACACGAAGAACCUUAUCCUGGGCUUGACAUACUUGGAUGCCUCCCUGGAAACAGGGUCGGUUGCCCCUCGGGGUGAAACAAGUACAGGUGCUGCAUGGCUGUCGUCAGCUCGUGUCGUGAGAUGUUGGGUUAAGUCCCGUAACGAGCGAAACCCUUGUCGUUAGUUGCCAGCGCGUUAUGGCGGGGACUCUAACGAGACUGCCGGUGUUAAACCGGAGGAAGGUGGGGAUGACGUCAAGUCCUCAUGGCCUUUAUGCCCAGGGCUGCAAACGUGCUACAAUGGCGGGUACAGAGCGACGCGAAGCCGCGAGGUCGAGCAAAUCGCAAAAAACCCUCCCCAGUUCGGAUUGCAGUCUACAACUCGACUGCAUGAAGUUGGAAUCGCUAGUAAUCGCGUAUCAGCGUGACGCGGUGAAUGUGUUCCUGAGCCUUGUACACACCGCCCGUCAAGUCAUGGAAGCUGGGAGCACCCGAAGUCGGCCUAUCUCAAGGCUGCCGAAGGUGAGCUCGGUGACUGGGACUAAGUCGUAACAAGGUAGCCGUAGGGGAACCUGCGGCUGGAUCACCU
rnacentral:rRNA from 1 species